UACGUAGGGUGCAAGCGUUGUCCGGAAUUAUUGGGCGUAAAGAGCUCGUAGGCGGUUUGUCGCGUCGGCUGUGAAAACUCGGGGCUCAACCCCGAGCCUGCAGUCGAUACGGGCAGACUAGAGUGCGGUAGGGGAGACUGGAAUUCCUGGUGUAGCGGUGAAAUGCGCAGAUAUCAGGAGGAACACCAAUAGCGAAGGCAGCUCGCUGGGACGUUUACUGACACUAAGGCGCGAAAGCGUGGGGAGCAAACAGG
rnacentral:rRNA from 1 species